CCUACGGGUGGCAGCAGUGAGGAAUAUUGGUCAAUGGACGAGAGUCUGAACCAGCCAAGUAGCGUGAAGGAUAACUGCCCUAUGGGUUGUAAACUUCUUUUAUAUGGGAAUAAAACGUUCCACGUGUGGGAUUUUGUAUGUACCAUAUGAAUAAGGAUCGGCUAACUCCGUGCCAGCAGCCGCGGUAAUACGGAGGAUCCGAGCGUUAUCCGGAUUUAUUGGGUUUAAAGGGAGCGUAGGUGGAUUGUUAAGGCAGUUGUGAAAGUUUGCGGCUCAACCGUAAAAUUGCAGUUGAAACUGGCAGUCUUGAGUACAGUAGAGGUGGGCGGAAUUCGUGGUGUAGCGGUGAAAUGCUUAGAUAUCACGAAGAACUCCGAUUGCGAAGGCAGUUCACUGGACUGCAACUGACACUGAGGCUCGAAAGUGUGGGUAUCAAACAGGAUUAGAUACCCUUGUAGUC
rnacentral:rRNA from 1 species